UGGGGAAUAUUGCACAAUGGGCGCAAGCCUGAUGCAGCAACGCCGCGUNAGGGCAUGACGGCCUUCGGGCUUGUAAAACCUCUUUUUAGCAGGGAAGAAGCGAAAGUGACGGUACCUGCAGAAAAAGCACCGGCUAACUACGUGCCAGCAGCCGCGGUAAUACGUAGGGUGCAANCGUUGUCCGGAAUUAUUGGGCGUAAAGAGCUCGUAGGCGGUCUGUCGCGUCUGCUGUGAAAUCCCGAGGCUCAACCUCGGGCCUGCAGUGGGUACGGGCAGACUAGAGUGCGGUAGGGGAGAAUGGAACUCCCGGUGUAGCGGUGGAAUGCGCAGAUAUCAGGAAGAACACCGAUGGCGAAGGCAGUUCUCUGGGCCGUAACUGACGCUGAGGAGCGAAAGCGUGGGGAGCGAACAGGAUUAGAUACCCUGGUAGUCCACGCCGUAAACGUUGGGCGCUAGAUGUGGGGACCAUUCCACGGUUUCCGUGUCGCAGCUAACGCAUUAAGCGCCCGCCUGGGGAGUACGGCCGCCAAGGCUAAAAC
rnacentral:rRNA from 1 species